rnacentral:rRNA from 1 species
UACAGAGGGGGCAAGCGUUGUUCGGAAUUACUGGGCGUAAAGGGCGCGUAGGCGGCCUGCUAAGUCGAACGUGAAAUCCCUGGGCUCAACCCAGGAACUGCGUCCGAUACUGGUUGGCUUGAAUCCGGGAGAGGGAUGUGGAAUUCCAGGUGUAGCGGUGAAAUGCGCAGAUAUCAGGAGGAACACCGAUGGCGAAGGCAGGUCUCUGGGCCGAUACUGACGCUGAGGAGCGAAAGCGUGGGGAGCGAACAGG